UACGGAGGGAGCAAGCGUUGUUCGGAUUUACUGGGCGUAAAGGGCGCGUAGGCGGCGCAACAAGUCACUUGUGAAAUCUCCGGGCUUAACCCGGAGCGGCCAAGUGAUACUGUCGUGCUAGAGUGCGGAAGGGGCUACUGGAAUUCUCGGUGUAGCGGUGAAAUGCGUAGAUAUCGAGAGGAACACCUGCGGCGAAGGCGGGUUGCUGGGCUGACACUGACGCUGAUGUGCGAAAGCUAGGGGAGCGAACGGG
rnacentral:rRNA from 1 species